rnacentral:rRNA from 1 species
GCAUUCACGAGCCUAACCUUGACCGAGAGGUCCGGGUAAUCUUUGAAACUGCAUCGUGAUGGGGCUAGAUUAUUGCAAUUAUUAAUCUUCAACGAGGAAUGCCUAGUAAGCGUGAUUCAUCAAAUCGCGUUGAUUACGUCCCUGCCCUUUGUACACACCGCCCGUCGCUCCUACCGAUUGAAUGUGUUGGUGAGGAGUUCGGAUUGGCAGUUAGUGGUGGUUCGCCACUGCUUGCAGCUGAGAAGUUCUCCAAACCGCCCCAUUUAGAGGAAGGAGAAGUCGUAACAAGGUUUCCGUAGGUGAACCUGCGGAAGGAUCAUUGAAUCGAUCAAAUCCACACUGUGAACUGUUUGUCUCCCUCUCGGGGCCGCUCGCGCGGCCGCUUGAGCGGCUAGGGAUGCGUUCCCUAGUCGGGCCUACCCCCGCGCCUCAGCGGGGAAUAGGUCGGCGCUCUUAAACAACCCACACAAAAACAACGUCUAAAGCUAUGUGUAUGUUGGCCUUGCCGACUGCAUCUAACCAAAGACAACUCUCAACAACGGAUAUCUUGGCUCUUACAACGAUGAAGAACGCAGCGAAAUGCGAUACGUAGUGUGAAUUGCAGAAUUCCGUGAACCAUCGAAUCUUUGAACGCAUAUUGCGCUCGAGGCCUCGGCCAAGAGCACGCCUGCCUCAGAGUCGGUUUUCCCCCUCAACCCCCCUACCCCUUGGGUAGAGCCGGUUGGACCUGGCAGUCUCAGAGCUUUCAUUAGCGCUGGGUCUGCUGAAGUGCAGAGAUUUAACCGGGACCCGCUAAGGGCAAACACUAGGUAGGUAGCCUUCGGGUUAUUCCUGUGUGUGUCUAAGGCCUGGCUAUAAUCAGCAGGAAAACACCUUAACCAUUCGACCUGAGUUCAGACGAGACUACCCGCCGAACUUUAGCUAUCAUA